rnacentral:rRNA from 1 species
CCUGGCUCAGGAUGAACGCUAGCUACAGGCUUAACACAUGCAAGUCGAGGGGCAGCACAAGGAGCAAUCUGAGGUGGCGACCGGCGCACGGGUGAGUAACACGUAUGCAACCUGCCUGUAAGCGGGGAAUAACCCGUUGAAAGACGGACUAAUACCGCAUAAUACUAAAUUACUGCAUGGUAAUUUAUUUAAACAUUUAUGGCUUACAGAUGGGCAUGCGCAUGAUUAGCUAGUUGGAGAGGUAACGGCUCCCCAAGGCAACGAUCAUUAGGGGUUCUGAGAGGAAGGUCCCCCCACACUGGUACUGAGACACGGACCAGACUCCUACGGGAGGCAGCAGUGAGGAAUAUUGGUCAAUGGACGAGAGUCUGAACCAGCCAAGUCGCGUGCAGGAAGAAUUGUCCUAUGGAUUGUAAACUGCUUUUGCAGGGGAAUAAAGUGCAUCACGUGUGAUGUUUUGUAUGUACUCUGCGAAUAAGGAUCGGCUAACUCCGUGCCAGCCGCGGC